rnacentral:rRNA from 1 species
GACGAACGCUGGCGGCGUGCUUAACACAUGCAAGUCGAACGGAAAGGCCCUGCUUUUGUGGGGUGCUCGAGUGGCGAACGGGUGAGUAACACGUGAGUAACCUGCCCUUGACUUUGGGAUAACUUCAGGAAACUGGGGCUAAUACCGGAUAGGAGCUCCUGCUGCAUGGUGGGGGUUGGAAAGUUUCGGCGGUUGGGGAUGGACUCGCGGCUUAUCAGCUUGUUGGUGGGGUAGUGGCUUACCAAGGCUUUGACGGGUAGCCGGCCUGAGAGGGUGACCGGCCACAUUGGGACUGGGAUACGGCCCAGACUCCUACGGGGGGCAGCAGUGGGGAAUAUUGCACAAUGGGCGGAAGCCUUAUGCAGCAACGCCGCGGGCGGGAUGACGGCCUUCGGGUUGUAAACCGCUUUCGCCUGUGACGAAGCGUGAGUGACGGUAAUGGGUAAAGAAGCACCGGGUAACUACGUG